CACCUGUAAGACAGAGAGGGAGAUCUGUGUGUGACAAUGGGAGCUAUUGUAGCAUUCGCAGUGUUACUGGGAACUUUGUCUUAUGGUCACUGUGUUGAACUCACACAGCUAGGCUCUAUGGUUGUUGCUCCAGGACACUCUCUGACCAUCUCCUGUAAGGUCUCUGGGUAUUCCCUGACUGAUAGCAGCUACUAUACAGGAUGGAUCCGACAGUCUGCAGGGAAAGCUCUGGAGUGGAUAGGAUAUAUGCACGGAGGUGGGAGUUUGUAUUACAAGGAUUCUCUAAAAAACAAGUUCACCAUCUCCAGAGACACCUCCAGUAACACAGUGUCGUUACAAGGGAGCAGCCUGCAGACUGGAGACACAGCUGUGUAUUACUGUGCCCGAGACACACAGUGCAGCAAAGCUACUGCAGGGCUAUACAAAAACCCUCCCUGAUGAGUGUAGUGGUAGAACACAAACAUUGAAGAGCUCAGUGAAGUCUGCACC